CUGGUGGCUACUGGUGGCCACUGGUGGCUACUGGUGGCUACUGGUGGCUGUGGUAGCCAUGGUGGCCACUGGUGGCCACUGGUGGCUACUGGUGGCUGUGGUAGGCAUGGUGGCCACUGGUGGCUACUGGUGGCCCUGCUGGCAAGUGGUGGCCAUGGUGGCUACUGGUGGCCACUGGUGGUCCCUGGUGGCAAGUGGUGGCUGUGGUGGCUACUGGUGGUUACUGGUGGCCACUGGUGGCUACUGGUGGCCAUGGUAGCUACUGGUGGCCCUGGGGGCAACUGGGGGCCUCUGGUGGUCACUGGUAGCCCUGGUGGCUGUGGUGGCCCCUGGUGGCCCCUUAUGACUCCUGGUAGCCCCUGGUGGCCCCUGGUAGCCCCUGCCCCCCCCCCCAAUUUUUCCCCCCCCCCCCAGGACCUCCUCCGCCACAAGCUGCAGGAGGAGCAGCGCCAGCUCCAGCUCCUCCAGCACCAGCUCCUGCACGAGCAGGCCCUGCUCCUGGUACACCCCCGGGAGGGGGCCCAAAUUUUUUGGGGGGG
rnacentral:lncRNA from 1 species